ACCACAGUUCCCAGUAGCCUGAUAUUUGCUGAUCAAGUCGGAACCUUUCAGUUUAACACCAAUCAAGAUGAACAACACCGUCUUUGUCGUUCUCGUCGUCCUGGCUCUGAUCGCCGCUGCCAGUGCUAUGUCAUUCUCCAGCUGUAACAGCAAGUUCAACGACUGGUACAGCGAUUGUAAGAGCCGUUAUGGCCAACAGAAAUGUGACUUGACCAUGAGCGGUUUCUCUGUAGCUUGCUAUUACAGCUAAAAUCCUCAUGCUUCAUGUCUCCUAAGCGUGUUGCAAGCCGCGAAUAUCUGAAUAAAUCUACUGCCUGAUAUCUU